CGUCUCGGGCCAUCACCUUGAAGGUGUUCAGGUUCUCGGGGAACCGUAGCUCAGCCCGAGUUUCCUCGUAGAUUGCACCACCGCUUUGCUUUAGGCCCGUGUGUCCGAUUUCGCCCAGCCGAAGGCGGGGGGCCGAUGGCACUUCUGCCGCCUUUCUGACGUUCCUCUUUCUCCGAGCCACAAAGGGCCUCCUAUCGUUCAAUGGCCAGCGGGUUUGGUCGGGUCAGGUCCGGAGGGAUGAAGUUGGGAAUGUGGAUGUCGGAUGCCAAAUAAGUGUAGGCGUCCGAGGUGGCAUCCACCUGGUCGUCCUUAACAUUCCGGCUUCCAUCAAACACCUCCAGCUCCGUCAGGUAAGCCUCGUUCCAGGGGCCUUCUACUACCUGAACACCUCCAGCCUCUGCCAUACUGGCAAAAGGACCGAACCGGGUGACCUUUGAUUUGUUGGUUGGACGGGUCCUGGCAUGGAACCCGUGCUCUGCCAGGCGGCGAACAAAGUCCCAUGCAAGGUGCUGUCCUGCCGCUCCUGGAUCACGUGGAAUCAGGAUCGUAGUGUCAGCUCCGUCAUGUCUUGCUGUCUCAAGGAUCAGUUCAAAAACCCCGCCAAUCCGGCG
rnacentral:antisense_RNA from 1 species